rnacentral:rRNA from 1 species
UACGUAGGGUGCGAGCGUUGUCCGGAAUUAUUGGGCGUAAAGAGCUUGUAGGCGGUUUGUCGCGUCUGCUGUGAAAAUCCGGGGCUCAACCCCGGACUUGCAGUGGGUACGGGCAGACUAGAGUGUGGUAGGGGAGACUGGAAUUCCUGGUGUAGCGGUGAAAUGCGCAGAUAUCAGGAGGAACACCAACGGCGAAGGCAGCUCGCUGGGACGGUACUGACGCUGAGGCGCGAAAGCGUGGGGAGCGAACAGG